AAUCAAGCGCGAGAAGGGCGUUUGGUGGAUGCCUUGGCAGCAAGAGGCGAUGAAGGACGUGAUACUCUGCGAUAAGCUAGGGGGAGCCGAGAAUAGGCUUUGAUCCCUAGAUCUCCGAAUGGGGCAACCCACCUGACAGUUCAUUAUAAUUACCUUACGGUCUUUAUAGUGCGCUGAAACAGGUACUUUUAACCUGAAUACAUAGGGUUAUAAGAGCGAACCCGGGGAACUGAAACAUCUAAGUACCCGGAGGAAAGGAAAUCAACAGAUACUCCCCUAGUAGCGGCGAGCGAACGGGGACCAGCCGAGCCAUGAGUGUGACCAGAACUGGUUGGAAAACCAGGCCAUAGUGGGUGACAGCCCCGUAUGGGAAGCAUGAUUGGACGUAUUAAGUAGGGCGGGACACGUGAAAUCCUGUCUGAAGAUCGGGGGACCACCCUCGAAGGCUAAGUACUCCUUGCUGACCGAUAGCGAACCAGUACCGUGAGGGAAAGGUGAAAAGCACCCCGACGAGGGGAGUGAAACAGUACCUGAAACCGAACGCCUACAAUCAGUCGGAGGCUCCAUGAGAGCUGACGGCGUACCUUUUGUAUAAUGGGUCAUCGACUUGGUCUCACGAGCAAGCUUAAGCCGAUAGGUGUAGGCGCAGCGAAAGCGAGUCUUAAUAGGGCGCAUGAGUUCGUGGGAUCAGACCCGAAACCGAGUGAUCUAGGCAUGGCCAGGCUGAAGGUAAGGUAACACUUACUGGAGGGCCGAACCCACAUCCGUUGAAAAGGAUCGGGAUGAGCUGUGCCUAGGGGUGAAAGGCCAAUCAAACUCGGAGAUAGCUGGUUCUCCGCGAAAUCUAUUUAGGUAGAGCGUCGUACGAAUACUCCCGGGGGUAGAGCACUGGAUGGGUAAUGGGGCCCCACAGGCUUACUGAUCCUAACCAAACUCCGAAUACCGGGAAGUACUAUACGGCAGACACACGGCGGGUGCUAACGUCCGUCGUGAAGAGGGAAACAACCCUGACCAACAGCUAAGGCCCCCAAUUCGUGGCUAAGUGGGAAAGCAGGUGGGACGACCAAAACAACCAGGAGGUUGGCUUAGAAGCAGCCAUCCUUUAAAGAUAGCGUAACAGCUCACUGGUCUAAAUAAGUUGUCCUGCGGCGAAGAUGUAACGGGGCUCAAGCCACGAGCCGAAGCUUUGGGUGUGCACUUCGGUGCACGCGGUAGCGGAGCGUAGUGUGACAUAACUCCAUUCCUCUUCUGCACCUUCGGGUGCAAUGGAGGAUAGGAGUUUUCUGUGAAGCCGGCCUGUGAGGGAUCCGGUGGAGAGAUCACUAGCGAGAAUGAUGACAUGAGUAGCGACAAACAGGGUGAGAGACCCUGUCGCCGAAAGUCCAAGGGUUCCUGCUUAAAGCUAAUCUGAGCAGGGUAAGCCGACCCCUAAGGCGAGGCCGAAAGGCGUAGUCGAUGGGAACCAGGUUAAUAUUCCUGGGCCAGGAGGAUGUGACGGAUCUCGAAGGUUGUUCUUCCUUAUCGGAUUGGAAGGGCCGCUUAGAGGUUCCUGGAAAUAGCCCUCCGUUAGAUCGUACCCUAAACCGACACAGGUGGACUGGUAGAGAAUACCAAGGCGCUUGAGAGAACGAUGUUGAAGGAACUCGGCAAAAUACCUCCGUAAGUUCGCGAGAAGGAGGCCCGGUUUCCAGGCAACUGGAGGCCGGGGGCACAAACCAGGGGGUGGCGACUGUUUACUAAAAACACAGGGCUCUGCGAAGUCGCAAGACGACGUAUAGGGUCUGACGCCUGCCCGGUGCCGGAAGGUUAAAUGGAGGGGUGCAAGCUCCGAAAUGAAGCCCCGGUAAACGGCGGCCGUAACUAUAACGGUCCUAAGGUAGCGAAAUUCCUUGUCGGGUAAGUUCCGACCUGCACGAAUGGCGUAACGACUUCCCCGCUGUCUCCAACAUCGACUCAGCGAAAUUGAAUUGCCUGUCAAGAUGCAGGCUUCCCGCGGUUAGACGGAAAGACCCCGUGCACCUUUACUACAGCUUCGCACUGGCAUCAGGCACAACACGUGCAGGAUAGGUGGUAGGCUUUGAAGCAGGGACGCCAGUUCCUGUGGAGCCAUCCUUGAGAUACCACCCUUGUUCUGCUUGAUGUCUAACCGCGGUCCGUUAUCCGGAUCCGGGACCCUGCGUGGCGGGUAGUUUGACUGGGGCGGUCGCCUCCCAAACAGUAACGGAGGCGUGCGAAGGUUGGCUCAGAGCGGUCGGAAAUCGCUCGUUGAGUGCAAUGGCAGAAGCCAGCCUGACUGCGAGACUGACAAGUCGAGCAGAGUCGAAAGACGGCCAUAGUGAUCCGGUGGUCCCGAGUGGAAGGGCCAUCGCUCAACGGAUAAAAGGUACGCCGGGGAUAACAGGCUGAUGGUGCCCAAGAGUCCAUAUCGACGGCACCGUUUGGCACCUCGAUGUCGGCUCAUCUCAUCCUGGGGCUGGAGCAGGUCCCAAGGGUAUGGCUGUUCGCCAUUUAAAGAGGUACGUGAGCUGGGUUUAGAACGUCGUGAGACAGUUCGGUCCCUAUCUGCCGUGGGUGUAGGAUACUUGAGAGGAGUUGCCCCUAGUACGAGAGGACCGGGGUGAACGAACCACUGGUGGACCUGUUGUUGCGCCAGCAGCAGUGCAGGGUAGCUAUGUUCGGACAGGAUAACCGCUGAAGGCAUCUAAGCGGGAAGCCCCCCUCAAAACCAGGUAUCCCUGAGGGCCGUGGAAGACCACCACGUCGAUAGGCCGGAGAUGUAAGCGCAGCAAUGCGUUCAGUUGACCGGUACUAAUUGCCCGAUAGGCUUGAUUUG
rfam:Maritimibacter sp. HL-12 genome assembly, contig: B139DRAFT_scaffold00001.1